AUGAAUUGCUUGGCCUAGAACUAUCGAGGACUGGGGUUGGACUCGACAGUUGGCGAACUUCGGGACCUCAUACGGUCACACAACCCAGCGGUGGUAUUCUUAUCAGAAACAAAAAAGAGUGUGAAGGCUAUGGAGAGAUUGAAGUGGAGACUUGGGUUUAGAAGCGGAGUGGCUGUGGAUUGUAAUGGGAAGAGUGGAGGGCUUGCAUUAUGGUGGAGAGAGCAUUUACAGGUCACUAUCAGGCCAUGGUGCCAUUACUUUAUUGAUGCUGAGAUUACCUCGGAUGGGCAUACUUGGAGAUUCACUGGAAUCUACGGGGAGCCCAAAAUGGAGUUGAGGAAGAAGACUUGGGAUGCGAUUAGAUAUCUAAGGUCCCAGGAUGAGCUACCAUUGCUAUGUGUGGGGGACUUUAAUGAAGUUCUUGUAAGAUCAGAACAAAGUGGCGGCAACCUGAGGAGUUUUGCACAAAUGCAAGCGUUCAGUGACUGCCUAGCUGACUGCGGUUUGGCGGACUUGGGCUUCUCGGGCUAUCAGUUUACAUGGGAAAUAAACAAGCAAACCAGGACAAUGUACAAGUCAGGAUGGAUAGGGCAACCUGCACAGGUGAUUUUAUGGGUUUGUUUCCGGGCACGACCGUGGAGAACAUUCUCACGGAGGAAUCUGAUCACAUGGCAAUCCUGGUGCGAGUUAGGGAUAUGGAGACAAUGCAACCGAGGGGGGGCGCCCCUUUCGGUUUGA
rnacentral:rRNA from 1 species